UCCCUGGUGGCUCAGAGGUUAAAGCGUCUGCCUGCAAUGCAGGAGACCUGGGUUCGGUCCCUGGGUCGGGAA
rnacentral:tRNA from 1 species